rnacentral:rRNA from 1 species
AUUGAACGCUGGCGGCAGGCCUAACACAUGCAAGUCGAACGAGUGGCGGACGGGUGAGUAAUGUCUGGGAAACUGCCUGAUGGAGGGGGAUAACUACUGGAAACGGUAGCUAAUACCGCAUACCAUCAGAUGUGCCCAGAUGGGAUUAGCUUGUUGAUGGGGUAACGGCUCACCAAGGCGAGGAUCCCUAGCUGGUCUGAGAGGAGGACCAGCCAAACGGGAACGGAGCACCGGUCCAAAUUCCUACGGGAGGCGGCAGUGGGGAAUAUUGGACAAUGAGCGCAAGCCUGAUGCAGCCAUGCCGCGUGGAUGAAGAAGGCCUUCGGGUUGUAAAGUACUUUCAGCGGGGAGGCGUUACCCGCAGAAGAAGCACCGGCUAACUCCGUGCCAGCAGCCGCGGUAAUAC